GACGAGUCACUACGGUGAUGAAGUAGCUCAUGCCCCGCUUCCAGGAAAAGCCUCUAAGCUCUAGAUUAUCAUUAAUCGUACCCCAAACCGACACAGGUGGUCAGGUAGAGAAUACUCAGGCGCUUGAGAGAACUCGGGUGAAGGAACUAGGCAAAAUGGUGCCGUAACUUCGGGAGAAGGCACGCUGGCAUUAGGUGAAGUGAUUUACUCAUGGAGCUGAAGCCAGUCGCAGAUACCAGCUGGCUGCAACUGUUUAUUAAAAACACAGCACUGUGCAAACACGAAAGUGGACGUAUACGGUGUGACGCCUGCCCGGUGCUGGAAGGUUAAUUGAUGGGGUUAUCCGUAAGGAGAAGCUCUUGAUCGAAGCCCCAGUAAACGGCGGCCGUAACUAUAACGGUCCUAAGGUAGCGAAAUUCCUUGUCGGGUAAGUUCCGACCUGCACGAAUGGCGUAAUGAUGGCCAGGCUGUCUCCACCCGAGACUCAGUGAAAUUGAACUCGCUGUGAAGAUGCAGUGUACCCGCGGCAAGACGGAAAGACCCCGUGAACCUUUACUAUAGCUUGACACUGAACAUUGAGCCUUGAUGUGUAGGAUAGGUGGGAGGCUUUGAAGCGUGGACGCCAGUCUGCGUGGAGCCAACCUUGAAAUACCACCCUUUAAUGUUUGAUGUUCUAACGUUGCCCC
rnacentral:rRNA from 1 species